UACAGAGGGGGCAAGCGUUGUUCGGAAUUACUGGGCGUAAAGGGCGCGUAGGCGGCCUGUUAAGUCGAACGUGAAAUCCCCGGGCUCAACCCGGGAACUGCGUCCGAUACUGGCAGGCUUGAAUCCGGGAGAGGGAUGUGGAAUUCCUGGUGUAGCGGUGAAAUGCGCAGAUAUCAGGAGGAACACCGGUGGCGAAGGCGGGUCUCUGGGCCGAUGACUGACGCUGGAGGAGCGAAAGCGUGGGGAGCGAACAGG
rnacentral:rRNA from 1 species